rnacentral:rRNA from 1 species
UACGAAGGGGGCAAGCGUUGUUCGGAAUUACUGGGCGUAAAGAGCGUGUAGGCGGCCAGGUAGGUCGGUUGUGAAAACUGGAGGCUCAACCUUCAGACGUCGACCGAAACCAUCUGGCUAGAGUCCGGGAGAGGAGAGUGGAAUUCCUGGUGUAGCGGUGAAAUGCGCAGAUAUCAGGAAGAACACCCGUGGCGAAAGCGGCUCUCUGGAACGGUACUGACGCUGAGACGCGAAAGCGUGGGGAGCGAACAGG